AAACCCGGUGAUCUAGCCAUGGGCAGGUUGAAGGUUGGGUAACACUAACUGGAGGACCGAACCGACUAAUGUUGAAAAAUUAGCGGAUGACCUGUGGCUGGGGGUGAAAGGCCAAUCAAACCGGGAGAUAGCUGGUUCUCCCCGAAAGCUAUUUAGGUAGCGCCUCGUGAACUCAUCUUCGGGGGUAGAGCACUGUUUCGGCUAGGGGGCCAUCCCGGCUUACCAACCCGAUGCAAACUACGAAUACCGAAGAAUGUUAUCACGGGAGACACACGGCGGGUGCUAACGUCCGUCGUGAAGAGGGAAACAACCCAGACCGCCAGCUAAGGUCCCAAAGUCAUGGUUAAGUGGGAAACGAUGUGGGAAGGCACAGACAGCCAGGAUGUUGGCUUAGAAGCAGCCAUCAUUUAAAGAAAGCGUAAUAGCUCACUGGUCGAGUCGGCCUGCGCGGAAGAUGUAACGGGGCUAAACCAUG
rnacentral:rRNA from 1 species